UUUUUGCUCCUCCAAUACAGCAGAUAAGUACUCCUUGUAACGAAGGAGGUAUGCCCCAGUCCAAGUGGAGGUGAUGGAACUGGUGUGCUGCCCAGCAAAGAGAGCAGCAAUGAGCAAGCCCGUAAUCUCAGAUUCACUAGUUGGGCGUCCAUCUUUGUACUUUGAAUCUAUGAAGCACUGCAACAUGUCAUUCUCUGAUCUUCCAGCAAGUUUACGAGAAGCUAUAAUGCUUGCAAAGAUUUCUGCAAGCCUCUUUCGAGCCCUGUCACGGCGGCGGUGAGCUGGAAUGGGCAGGUAUGGGAACAAGACACUGAUAGGGAGCAUACCAUUGUCCAGGUCAUGGAAUAGAGUAGAUAUAUCAUCAAAAAGCUUAUCACGAACUUCUC
rnacentral:misc_RNA from 1 species